rnacentral:tRNA from 1 species
GCGGGUGUAGUUCAAUGGUAGAACGGGGGCUUCCCAAGCCUCAAACGAGGGUUCGAUUCCCUUCACCCGCU